GACGGGGCCCGCACAAGCAGCGGAGCGUGUGGUUUAAUUCGAUGCAACACGAAAAACCUUACCAAGGUUUGACAUGUCGGAAGUAGUGAACCCGAAGGGGAACGACCUGUUGAGUCAGGAGCCGUCACAGGUGCUGCAUGGCUGUCGUCAGCUCGUGCCGUGAGGUGUAUGGUUAAGUCCCGCAACGAGCGCAACCCUUAUCCCCAGUUGCCAUCAGGUAAAGCUGGGAACUCUGGGGAGACUGCCGGUGAUAAACCGGAGGAAGGCGGGGAUGACGUCAAGUCCUCAUGGCCCUUACAUCCCGGGCUACACACGUGCUACAAUGGCAGGUACAGAGGGCUGCGAAGCCGCGAGGUGGAGCGAAUCCCAGAAAACCUGUCUCAGUCCGGAUUGAAGUCUGCAACUCGACUUCAUGAAGGCGGAAUCGCUAGUAACCGCGAAUCAGCAGGUCGCGGUGAAUACGUUCCCGGGCCUU
rnacentral:rRNA from 1 species